rnacentral:rRNA from 1 species
AACGGGGGGAGCGAGCGUUUAUUCGUCAUGACUGGGCGUAAAGGUGAUUUGUAGGUGGCUUUGGGAGUCAGUUUAUCAAAACCGUUACGAGAAAUAAUAUAGGUAAGUGUAAGCUGAGCCUUGAGGCUUAGAGUAUGUACAGGAUGAUAGCAGUACCCACGGAGGAGGGGUAGAAUCCGGAAAUACCGUUGGGGACUCUCGUUAGGUGAAAGCGGUUAUCAUCUACAUUACUGACAUUGAGGAAUGAUAGCAUGGGGAGCAAACAGG